AGUGAGCGCUGGCGGUAGGCCUAACACAUGCAAGUCGAACGGCAGCACAGUAAGAGCUUGCUCUUACGGGUGGCGAGUGGCGGACGGGUGAGGAAUACAUCGGAAUCUACUUUUUCGUGGGGGAUAACGUAGGGAAACUUACGCUAAUACCGCAUACGACCUACGGGUGAAAGCAGGGGAUCUUCGGACCUUGCGCGAUUGAAUGAGCCGAUGUCGGAUUAGCUAGUUGGCGGGGUAAAGGCCCACCAAGGCGACGAUCCGUAGCUGGUCUGAGAGGAUGAUCAGCCACACUGGAACUGAGACACGGUCCAGACUCCUACGGGAGGCAGCAGUGGGGAAUAUUGGACAAUGGGCGCAAGCCUGAUCCAGCCAUGCCGCGUGGGUGAAGAAGGCCUUCGGGUUGUAAAGCCCUUUUGUUGGGAAAGAAAAGCAGCAGGUUAAUACCCCGCUGUUCUGACGGUACCCAAAGAAUAAGCACCGGCUAACUUCGUG
rnacentral:rRNA from 1 species